UACGUAGGUGGCAAGCGUUAUCCGGAAUUAUUGGGCGUAAAGCGCGCGUAGGCGGUUUCCUAAGUCUGAUGUGAAAGCCCACGGCUCAACCGUGGAGGGUCAUUGGAAACUGGGAAACUUGAGUGCAGAAGAGGGGAGUGGAAUUCCAUGUGUAGCGGUGAAAUGCGCAGAGAUAUGGAGGAACACCAGUGGCGAAGGCGGCUCUCUGGUUUGUAACUGACGCUGAUGUGCGAAAGCGUGGGGAUCAAACAGG
rnacentral:rRNA from 1 species